rnacentral:rRNA from 1 species
CGGGAAAAGCUCAAAUUUAAAAUCUGGCGGUCUCUGGCCGUCCGAGUUGUAAGUUAGAGAAGUGUUACCCGCGCUGGACCGUGUACAAGUCUCCUGGAACGGAGCGUCAUAGAGGGUGAGAGUCCCGUCU